rnacentral:rRNA from 1 species
UGGGGAAUUUUGGACAAUGGGCGAAANCCUGAUCCAGCAAUGCCGCGUGUGUGAAGAAGGCCUUCGGGUUGUAAAGCACUUUUGUCCGGAAAGAAAUCCUUGGCUCUAAUACAGUCGGGGGAUGACGGUACCGGAAGAAUAAGCACCGGCUAACUACGUGCCAGCAGCCGCGGUAAUACGUAGGGUGCAAGCGUUAAUCGGAAUUACUGGGCGUAAAGCGUGCGCAGGCGGUUUGCUAAGACCGAUGUGAAAUCCCCGGGCUCAACCUGGGAACUGCAUUGGUGACUGGCAGGCUAGAGUAUGGCAGAGGGGGGUAGAAUUCCACGUGUAGCAGUGAAAUGCGUAGAGAUGUGGAGGAAUACCGAUGGCGAAGGCAGCCCCCUGGGCCAAUACUGACGCUCAUGCACGAAAGCGUGGGGAGCAAACAGGAUUAGAUACCCUGGUAGUCCACGCCCUAAACGAUGUCAACUAGUUGUUGGGGAUUCAUUUCCUUAGUAACGUAGCUAACGCGUGAAGUUGACCGCCUGGGGAGUACGGUCGCAAGAUUAAAACUUCAAAUGGAAUUGACGGGGUCAUAGCUGUUUCCU